rnacentral:rRNA from 1 species
AUUGAACGCUGGCGGCAGGCCUAACACAUGCAAGUCGAGCGGUAGCACAGAGAGCUUGCUCUCGGGUGACGAGCGGCGGACGGGCGAGUAAUGUCUGGGAAACUGCCUGAUGGAGGGGGAUAACUACUGGAAACGGUAGCUAAUACCGCAUAAUGUCGCAAGACCAAAGUGGGGGACCUUCGGGCCUCAUGCCAUCAGAUGUGCCCAGAUGGGAUUAGCUAGUAGGUGGGGUAACGGCUCACCUAGGCGACGAUCCCUAGCUGGUCUGAGAGGAUGACCAGCCACACUGGAACUGAGACACGGUCCAGACUCCUACGGGAGGCAGCAGUGGGGAAUAUUGCACAAUGGGCGCAAGCCUGAUGCAGCCAUGCCGCGUGUGUGAAGAAGGCCUUCGGGUUGUAAAGCACUUUCAGCGGGGAGGAAGGCGGUGAGGUUAAUAACCUCAUCGAUUGACGUUACCCGCAGAAGAAGCACCGGCUAACUCCGUGCCAGCAGCCGCGGUAAUACGGAGGGUGCAAGCGUUAAUCGGAAUUACUGGGCGUAAAGCGCACGCAGGCGGUCUGUCAAGUCGGAUGUGAAAUCCCCGGGCUCAACCUGGGAACUGCAUUCGAAACUGGCAGGCUAGAGUCUUGUAGAGGGGGGUAGAAUUCCAGGUGUAGCGGUGAAAUGCGUAGAGAUCUGGAGGAAUACCGGUGGCGAAGGCGGCCCCCUGGACAAAGACUGACGCUCAGGUGCGAAAGCGUGGGGAGCAAACAGGAUUAGAUACCCUGGUAGUCCACGCCGUAAACGAUGUCGAUUUGGAGGUUGUGCCCUUGAGGCGUGGCUUCCGGAGCUAACGCGUUAAAUCGACCGCCUGGGGAGUACGGCCGCAAGGUUAAAACUCAAAUGAAUUGACGGGGGCCCGCACAAGCGGUGGAGCAUGUGGUUUAAUUCGAUGCAACGCGAAGAACCUUACCUGGUCUUGACAUCCACAGAACUUAGCAGAGAUGCUUUGGUGCCUUCGGGAACUGUGAGACAGGUGCUGCAUGGCUGUCGUCAGCUCGUGUUGUGAAAUGUUGGGUUAAGUCCCGCAACGAGCGCAACCCUUAUCCUUUGUUGCCAGCGGUCCGGCCGGGAACUCAAAGGAGACUGCCAGUGAUAAACUGGAGGAAGGUGGGGAUGACGUCAAGUCAUCAUGGCCCUUACGACCAGGGCUACACACGUGCUACAAUGGCAUAUACAAAGAGAAGCGACCUCGCGAGAGCAAGCGGACCUCAUAAAGUAUGUCGUAGUCCGGAUUGGAGUCUGCAACUCGACUCCAUGAAGUCGGAAUCGCUAGUAAUCGUAGAUCAGAAUGCUACGGUGAAUACGUUCCCGGGCCUUGUACACACCGCCCGUCACACCAUGGGAGUGGGUUGCAAAAGAAGUAGGUAGCUUAACCUUCGGGAGGGCGCUUACCACUUUGUGAUUCAUGACUGGGGUGA